GAUGAACGCUAGCGGCAGGCUUAACACAUGCAAGUCGGGCGGCAGCGGGGUGGGAGCUUGCUCCCACUGCCGGCGAGCGGCGCACGGGUGAGUAACACGUAUGCAACCUGCCCCUGUCAGGGGGACAACCCGCCGAAAGGCGGGCUAAUCCCGCGUAUAUCGCCCCGGGGCAUCCCGGGGGAGGAAAGGAGCGAUCCGGACAGGGAUGGGCAUGCGGCGCAUUAGCUGGUCGGCGGGGUAACGGCCCACCGAGGCGACGAUGCGUAGGGGUUCUGAGAGGAAGGCCCCCCACACUGGUACUGAGACACGGACCAG
rnacentral:rRNA from 1 species